CCAGGUUGGUGGUGGUGGCUGAUUGUUGUGUAUGUGGCUGUUGCAGCUCUCAUAAUCAUCACUGUGGUUGUUGCAGCUCUCAUAAUCAUCACUGUGGCUGUCCUCAGAUGGAAGAGAGCUAAAGGGAACAAAACACAGACGGAGGUUGAAAACAUGGCUGAUCCUGAAGGUGGUGUUUCCUACGCCUCCAUCAGCUACACCAAGAAGACCAACAGGAGAGCCCAGGCUCGGGGUGGAGAUGAUGAUGAAGAUGAUGCAGUGACCUACAGCACCGUGAAAGCUCCCUCUUCCUCUGCUGCUGCUGCAGCCUCUGCUGAUCUCAGCAACCUCUACGCCACCAUCAACAAACUAAAGAAUUAAUAGAGCACAGGGUAGUUACAGCUCGUAUCAUACAGAUAUAUUUGGUUACUUGAUAUGGAAGAAAGAUAUGAUAAACAAAUGAUUAGCUCAUAAUCAAGAGAUGUGCGCACAAUGUUCUAUAACUAUGGCCGAGGCAUUUCUCAAUAAGAGCAACAGGCUGAUCAUGUAUGGAUUG
rnacentral:lncRNA from 1 species